rnacentral:rRNA from 1 species
AGUGAACGCUGGCGGCAGGCCUAACACAUGCAAGUCGAGCGGAUGAAGGGAGCUUGCUCCUGGAUUCAGCGGCGGACGGGUGAGUAAUGCCUAGGAAUCUGCCUGUUUGUGGGGGAUAACGUCCGGAAACGGGGGCUAAUACCGCAUACGUCCAGAGGGAGAAAGGGGGGGAUCUUCGGACCUUAGGCCAUUGGAUGAGCCUAGGUCGGAUUAGCUAGUUGGUGGGGUAAAGGCCUACCAAGGCGACGAUCCGUAACUGGUCUGAGAGGAUGAUCAGUCACACUGGAACUGAGACACGGUCCAGACUCCUACGAGAGGCAGCAGUGGGGAAUAUUGGACAAAGGGCGAAAGCCUGAUCCAGCCAUGCCGCGUGUGUGAAGAAGGUCUUCGGAUUGUAAAGCACUUUAAGUUGGGAAGAAGAGCAGUAAGUUAAUACCUUGCUGUUUUGACGGUACCAAAAGAAUAAGCACCGGCUAACUUCGUG